AAGGAGGGGGGAUGUGAGCCCAGAAGGGCUUUAGUUUCUGUCACCAACCACCAGUCCUCAUGGGGAGUUUAACUGGAGCUAUACAUCUUUCAAAUCAGACCGCAGGUGUCCUAAGAUGAGCUCAGAGAGAACAGAAACCCCCCAUGGAAUAGAAAGGCAAAAGCUCCCUUGAUCUUGAUUUUCAGGAUGAAUACAAACCUGAAAGUGGAAGCCUCUACAUCCGAUCCUUCUGACAUUUGGGGUUUUAAGCAGGAAAGGUCAGAAAAUGGAUCCAUAUGGAUCCAUAUGGAUCACUGCCUUGUGGUGGCCAAGCAUUCCUAGCAACUUUGCUUUUGGAUUCUUCAAUUUUGGUUAAAUAGCACCUGGAGGACUUGGGAAGACCUGAAUUCAGUCCUGCCUCUG
rnacentral:ncRNA from 1 species